GACGAACGCUGGCGGCGUGCUUAACACAUGCAAGUCGAACGGAAAGGCCCUGCUUUUGUGGGGUGCUCGAGUGGCGAACGGGUGAGUAACACGUGUGUAACCUGCCCUUGCCUUUGGGAUAACUUCAGGAAACUGGGGCUAAUACCGGAUAGGAGCUCCUGCUGCAUGGUGGGGGUUGGAAAGUUUCGGCGGUUGGGGAUGGACUCGCGUCUUAUCAGCUUGUUGGUGGGGUAGUGGCUUACAAAGCUUUUGACGGGUUGCCGGCCUGAGAGGGUGACCGGCCACAUAGAGUCUGCAAUACGGCCCAGACGCCAACGGGAGGCAUGAGUGGGAAAUAUUGCACAAUGAGCGGAAGCAUGAUGAAGCAACGCCGCGUGCGGGAUAACGGCCUUCGGGGUGUAAGCCGCUUUCGCCUGAGACGAAGCGUGAGUGACGGUAAUAGGUAGAGAAGCACCGGCUAACUACGUG
rnacentral:rRNA from 1 species